AGAACGUUUGCUUUGUUCUAAUGAAUGAACACAACUCAGUGGCAACAAUGGAUAAUGGCGCUACACGAUCAUCGAUGGAUUUCAACCAGCAGAUGGCAGCAAACUCAAACAAUGUUAUGUCUUUCUAUUCACGCCUGCACAUCUAAAUGGGAGAAAGUCAUUGUUCAAAAACACCAGAUAAGUCAAUUGUACUACGUAAUUAAUUACAGUUUAUCAGUAUGUCGUUACCAACUGUAAGCAAUUCUCACCUGCGACAGCGAAAUGAAUGACAAAUCCGUCUUCAACAUAAACUCCCCAGUGUGAAUAUCCAAUGGGAUAUACAAAUUCUAUCAAAUCUCCAAAAUGGGCUGUGGACACAAUCUCUUCGAUCUGUGUUCAUAAAGAAAAACAAGUGUGUAACUAAUGGAUGUAAACAAUAAAAAGCAACUGAUAUCCCUCAAAGCUCCACCCUGCACCGCGCCUAUCCACUCUCCAGCAGGUUCAGCUGCAUACCGCAGCCCAUGCUUGACACUCAUAGAAUGCGUUUCACUCUCCUUCAAUAGUUGUAGGCUACUUGUAUUUUAAUGGUAGUCCUAAAGAUUUUUUAACACCAAUAAGAAGAAAUUUCAUUUAAUUGCAGUCUCAUUUUAGAGAGUGCCAAUCGUUACAACUGAGAUAGAUCCGAGCAAUUGGAUUUUACCAAGAGAUAAAAAUAGAUUUGAAGCGAUUUACCAAGUUGUUUUGCAUCAAUCUAUAUUUUUCCAUGCCAUCCACGAAGUUCAUACUAAUUACUCAAUCUGAAUCGCCUAUAAUUUUAGGCCUAUCAUUUGGUUAUGAACCCAUUGGCAUUUUACUAAAUUUACCUUACUUUGUCCUCUGUUCAAAUUGAUUGUUAACUACAAUUUAACUUCCCAUAUGCAACUUAAUGAGACAAAUGUAAAUUAAUCUAAUUUAACAUAGACUCAUCUAACCCAUCAAGUAUAUCUGUCACACUCAAUGGUUGGCGCAGGUAAUGAUCAAACAGGUGUCUUGUAAAGUUAGAUUCUUACCUGCGACUGAUGGUCCAUU
ensembl:lncRNA